CGCCAAACCAAACAAUAGAAACGCGCGCAUUUUGUGUCGACGAGUCGAUGACUGUACAACACCCGUAAAGCGCGAGAAUACGACGUCCGGUAUAUUUAAUAAAUAUCGAGGCUGUGCGAAUAAUCGUAUGGUCCUUUGUCGAUUGUUAAAUAUUCCGCCAGUAGUAUCCCGAUCUCCGACUACCUUGAAGCCAUCUUCUGACCACGGAUCGAUUUUUUGACCGCUGCUUCGCACACAGAUACUGGGUUCGUUCAACGACG